rnacentral:lncRNA from 1 species
GUGAGUUCCACCCAAAGGCUUUGCUUCUUCCAGCUGGCCCUGUCUGCUCCCCAGAGAGCCCCAGCUCCGCCCAACCUUCCCAAUCCCCCAGAAGCCGGGCUCCUCCAGGCAGGCGGCUUAACAGCCAUUCCUGAAAUCGCAUCUCACUCACUCAAGACAGGGCAUCAUGCCCCCACCCCCACCCCUACCCCUACCCCUACCCCUACCCUCACUGGCCUUGAGGAUAAGGAGCAAGUUCAAUUCCAAUUCAAACACCUGGAAACUCUGCAAGCUCUGCUCCCGCCUCCAGCCUCCCCCUUGGAGGGGCUGCAUCUGCUCCAGGGGAGCCGUCUUGGUUUCCGCUGUUGCUGUUGGCCCGAGUUGCUGGCACACGAUGGGAGCCGUGCCUUGAAAAGCAGCAGAGAUCAGAGGAAACCAAGUGGAGCUUUUGGAGCAACAGAGAAGACAGGUCUGCAGAGCAGAGGCGCUCUGAGGCCAACAGAAGGAAGGAAGAAACACGGGCUCCUCUGCCUCUGGGUCACAACCAGCUCACAAAUACCGGUUCAUUCACACACAUGCACACACUCACACACACUCAUACACGAUGGAAUCUCUUCCCUGAACCCCCACUGCCCUCCUCCUUCACCUCCUGCCCCCCCGACACACACACACACAAAGAAGCAAUCUGG